UACGGGGGGGGCAAGCGUUGUUCGGAAUUACUGGGCGUAAAGGGUUCGUAGGUGGCCAACUAAGUCAGACGUGAAAUCCCUCAGCUUAACUGGGGAACUGCGUCUGAGACUGGAUGGCUUGAGUGCAGGAGAGGAACGCGGAAUUCCAGGUGUAGCGGUGAAAUGCGCAGAUAUCAGGAAGAACACCCGUGGCGAAGGCGGCUCUCUGGGACGGUACUGACGCUGAGACGCGAAAGCGUGGGGAGCGAACAGG
rnacentral:rRNA from 1 species